rnacentral:rRNA from 1 species
GACGAACGCUGGCGGCGUGCUUAACACAUGCAAGUCGAACGGAAAGGCCCCUUUGGGUGUACUCUAGUUGCGCACGGGUGAGUAACACAUUAGUAACCUGCCCUUUACUUCGGGAUAACUUCAGGAAACUGGGGCUAAUACCGAAUAGGAAUCCUUGCUGCAUGGUGGGGGUUGGAAAGCUUCGGCGGUUUUGCAUUGACUCGCGGCUUAUCAGCUUGGUGGUGGGGUAGUGGCUUACCAAGGCUUUGACGGGUAGCCGGACUGAGAGGGCGACAGGCCGCAUUGGGACUGAGGUACGGCCCAGGCUCGUAAGGGUGGAAGAAGUGGGGAAUAUUGCACAAUGGGCGGCAGGCGGAUGCAGAAACGCCGCGUGCGGGAUAACGGCCUUCGGGUUGUAAACCGCUUUCAGCAGGGGCGAAGCUUGUGGUGACGGUACCUGAAGAAGAAGCACCGGCUAACUACGUG